rnacentral:tRNA from 1 species
GCCGGCGUAGCUCAGUUGGCAGAGCAACUGAUUUGUAAUCAGUGGGUCGGGAGUUCGAUUCUCUCCGCCGGCACCA